AAAUUUGAAUCACAAGCAGCUUGUAUAUCCGUAAAUCAUGCUCUCCCACCUAAUUCAGUUCAAUGUACCUACUUCUUUGUGCAAUUUAAAAUUCCUUCGUACCUCUUAUUCUCACCAAACCUUAUAAACGCUGAUCCCUCCCUCUCUUUCUAACUGGGGAAUUCAAUUCAUGCCUUUGGAUUCAUCAAUUUGAAGGAUUUGUGAAGAUCAAAAGUAUAGGUGAGUUUGUUGAGCUCUAACCAUGUGUAUUUGUUUAGCCCUAACCUAUGUGGGAUCUGGUGAGGAUGAAAUUUAUUAAUGGUCGCAACCAUUGGUUUGUCUUUGAGGCAUCAACUAUGCCCUAUGUUCAUCUUAUUCCUCAGUACAGGCAACUAUUACUCAAUGUUCAGGGGCUUUUGGCUAUCUUCAAGAGUUUUGAUAACGCAUAAAGGUGGAAAAGUUGAUGCUGCAGAACUAGGAAAUGCACUAUACAGCCUUGGAUAUGCAAUUUAAAUUAUUGUAUGAGCACAACGAGUCUCAUUUAGGAGCUAUCUUUUGAUGCCUUUGGAGAAGCCCAAAAUACUUGCAAGUUUUCUUUUGGUUCAAUCGCCAUGCUGAUAAGGAAGAAGGAGGAGAACUUGUGUUUGGUGGGGUUAAUCCGAAAUAUUUCAAGUGUAAGCACAUACAUGUCCGUGUGACCUAAAAGGGCUAAUGGUAGGUGAGUCGUUUCAAAUGCCCUUGUACCUAUAUUGUCAUGUAUCUGUUUUUUUGGUAUCACUAAUCCAUUGCAGAUAAUUUUUUGGUGUUUUUGUACUUAGUUUGAUAUACGUGACAUUCACAUUAGAGAUAAGACUAUUGUCCUUAUACAUAUAUUUGUGUUUUUAUACUUGUGCAGUUGCAACAUUUAAUUUUAUAUGGUUAAAGUAAUAUAAUAUAUAUGGUUACAUGUUAUAGGAGAACCAACCACCAAGGACGCUCUCUAGAAAAGAGAGUUGUCUUUUUCCUUCGAUCUUUGUCACCUUUGCGGCUUGUUUCUGGAAGAUGCGGGUCAUGUCAUAGUCUCCUUUCCUUGGAAAAAUUCGGUUUGGACCCAAGUUGGGGUUGUGGACUAUAUGUCUUCUAUUCCCGGUGGGGGGGGGGGGUUUCUCUUGGUGAGAGGUAUGCUUGCUUUUUUGGAGAACCAUGGGAUGACUAAGAACUCGAAGAAUUUAAUCCACACAGUUACCAUGUGGGAUUUGUGUUAGACGAGAAAUGAUAUGGUGUUUAAAGGCUACAACACUUCUACUGUUAAGUUGGUUCAAGAUAUCAAACAGUAUGUGGUGAUGUGGAUUUUUAUCUUGUCGUGGGGUUUUGUUUCGUUUUUUUUUUUGUCUUCUGCUUGUUUCUUUUUGAUGGAUAUAAUCUGUAUAGCUCCUUGUUGGGCAGAUUGCAUUUUGGUGAGUGAGGUUUAUAUUAAUAAUAUUCUUAUUUUUUUAAUA